GGGCCCAUAGCUCAGUUGGAAGAGCUACCGGCUCAUAACCGGUUGGUCCCAGGUUCGAGCCCUGGUGGGCCCACCA
rnacentral:tRNA from 9 species